rnacentral:rRNA from 1 species
CAGUCGCCGCGGGAAUACGAAGGGGGCUAGCGUUGCUCGGAAUUACUGGGCGCAAAGGGCGCGUAGGCGGACAGUUCAGUCGGGGGUGAAAGCCCGGGGCUCAACCUCGGAAUUGCCUUCGAUACUGGCUGUCUUGAGUAUGAGAGAGGUGUGUGGAACUCCGAGUGUAGAGGUGAAAUUCGUAGAUAUUCGGAAGAACACCAGUGGCGAAGGCGGCACACUGGCUCAUUACUGACGCUGAGGCGCGAAAGCGUGGGGAGCAAACAGGAUUAGAUACCCGUGUAGUCCCUGUCUCUUAUAC